rnacentral:rRNA from 1 species
UACGUAGGGAGCAAGCGUUGUUCGGAUUUACUGGGCGUAAAGGGCGCGUAGGCGGCAGAUCAAGUCAGCUGUGAAAUCUCCGAGCUUAACUCGGAACUGUCAGCUGAUACUGUUUUGCUAGAGUGCGGAAGUGGCAAUCGGAAUUCUUGGUGUAGCGGUGAAAUGCGUAGAUAUCAAGAGGAACACCUGAGGUGAAGACGGGUUGCUGGGCCGACACUGACGCUGAGUGCGCGAAAGCCAGGGGAGCAAACGGG